GAAUGGUGCAAGCGUUGUUCGGGAAUCACUGGGGCAUAAAGCGCUCGUAGGCGGUGAUGUCAGUCAGUUGUGAAAUCCCUCGGGCUCAACCGAGGAACUGCAACUGAAACUGCGUCGCUGGAGUGUGGGAGGGGAGAACGGAAUUCCUGGUGGAGCGGUGAAAUGCGUAGAUAUCAGGAGGAACGCCGGAGGCGAAAGCGGUUCUCUGGCCCACUACUGACGCUGAGGAGCGAAAGCUAGGGGAGCAAACAGGAUUAGAUACCCUGGUAGUCCUAGCCGUAAACGAUGGGCACUAAGUAGGGGGGCUCCGAAGGCCUCCCUGCCGGAGCUAAUGUGUUAAGUGCCCCGCCUGGGGAGUAUGGUCGCAAAGGCUAA
rnacentral:rRNA from 1 species